CCCCACCAGGGACAAGCUCUAGAGAGCUUUUCCUUCUAGUGACCUUUUAUUUCAAAUGUUGAUUACUCAUUUGAUUCCCUGACCAUGGCUACCAUUACUAUUUUAAGUGCCUCUCUCCUUCUGAGCAGUGAAGUUCCAGUGGGCUGAGUGAGUCCUGUUUGUUUUGCUCAUGGUGUGUUGCCAUUCCUUUGCAAAGACUCUAGCCCCAAGAGAGUCCCUGAGCUGAGCACCUGAUGAGUACUCACCCCCUGGUUGAGCAUUUCCCCCCUCUUCUUGUUGGGGGCCUGGCAAGUAACUCUACAGUUGUCUUCCCAAGAGUUCUCUGCACUGCUGAUGGAGGAGACAGAAUUCCUGACCAUGGAACAGUCUAGAGAGCAGACAGCCCCAUCAGGUGCUAUGGUUUGAAUGUGUCCCCUCCAUUCAUCUCUUGAAGAUAUAUGCCCAAUGCCAAAGAGUUGGGAGACUGGAACUUUAAGAUGUGAUUCAAUCAGGGGCCGUCUAUGGGAAUGCUAAACUCAGUCUCUGGGGUGAAUAAGGAAUUAAAUGUCCAGGAAAUCAAGAAGACUCCGCUGAAGAGAAAUCUGAAGUUACAGCUUUACUCCUUCCGGAUUGAAGGGGUCUUGGGCCUGGGCGUGUACCAAGUAAACUCUGGAUGAGGAUGGGCCAUCAGGGGACAAAUAAGCCAUUUCUGCUUGCUGACACUAAGAGAAACCCUUCUGUAAAAGAUGUGCUGACACUGAUAUGUGAGGCCUGAGCACACACAGCAUGGCGACAUGUCCACUGGAUUAUACAUGGCCUGAGGAUACAGUCUGGGAACACUUGCACCAAGGGUAUAGAUGAACUGGGAGUACGUGACCUGAAACAGCUCAGGAGCGUGAUGUGAGUGAGAGGCAGUCUGGGAGACAAGCUACAGAUGCUUUGAGAACGGAGUGAGGAGUUUAAUCUGCAGUUGUCAAGGCUCCUGCUCCUAUUCUUCUGGAAGAUGUGCACUUGGCGUUUAUGCAGCUUUGAAGUUCAAGGGAAACAAAAUUUGAGUGACUGGUCUCUAAGGCAGGGUCUCCCGGUGCCCUGUAAAAGGGUCUUUUAUCACCCAAAGGGGUCAUGAUCUACAGGUUGAGAACUUCUGCUCUGAGGCCACGGAGACAGUGGCACCAUAGACAUGGACAAUGUAACCAUUCCCAAAGGAAGGUGGAUGAUUCUAAGCUAGGCAGCAACCUCCAGAUGCAUCCAUAAAUCCAAGACAAAGAUACAACCAAAAACCAUUUCUGACUCCUGCUUCUUGUCUCUACAAACAAACAUCACUGGUCCACCCUCCUGCCUACAGCCCCUAUGAACUCUGUCUCUGAUUUACACUUGGAAAAUACUUGCAAUUCUUAACCCCUCUAGAUGCAAUAUACCCAGUAAUACGCACAUGUAUGCAGAUGCCUAUGGUGUUCAGAAGACAAUGUAAGGUACCAUGCAACCAGAGUUACAAGCAGCUGUGAGCCUCCAAAUGAUGGGGCAGCGAAUACUCCACCCAUAUGCUACACAAACAGUCUAGAACACAGCUCCAAUUGAAUCCUGUCUUGCUCAUCUGCCCGAAAAAAUGUCAUGUUCCUGAGAAAAUGCUGUUGGUCACAUGAUUCC
rnacentral:lncRNA from 1 species